rnacentral:lncRNA from 1 species
AAUUCUCCACAUGGUACUCAUCACUACUGACAAUUUAGGGACUGUGUCUGCCUUACUCACUUUUAUAUUUGCAGCCCCCAGGAAAGUACUUACACGUAGUAUGUUCUCAAGAAUGUUUGUUAAUAAGAGGAUAUGUGAACAAGAUGUAUCAGCUGUGAUGUCUGGCCCUUCCCACCAUUUAUUAGGGAAAUGCCUUCAUCAGUGAUCACAGCGCACAGCCACCUUGUUACAAAAGUGGACUGCAUUGGAAAGAUAACUUAAGCUAAUAAGAACACGUCUAAAAUCAGAGCCAGAAAGCCAAGAGAUAAUUGCCAGAGGCAGUGAAGCCUGCAUCUGAGAGGUCAUGAAACCAGACUGUGGCUGGGGAGACCAUGACAUAAUAGUAUAAAAUGAAGUGAAAGGAUUAGGAGUGGGGAGGGAGGAAACUAGAAGUCAGCAGGGGAAGGCAGCUGGGAGUGAGAGCUAGAAGCAUCCCCACUGGGGCAGCUACAAAGCCAUAGAGGAGCUACUCCUCCACAAAAUGAGACAUGCACUGUUGUGACCCCUGGCCUUCAAUUUCCAUGGGAUUCCACUUCGAUUCAAAAUAAAUCACCCUUUUUUGUAGUGGCUUGAACAAAUUAGUAUUCCUUGUAUGCAAAUGAAGGCUGACCAUAACACUGUGGUAGCCUAUGGGUAAUUACUUAAUCACCCUUGAUUCAUAUUUAUUUAUUCAACAUUAAAUCAUUUCACUAAAAGCGUUAAUUGAACAAUGCCAUUUCCAACUAACCGGUCUAAGAAACUUUACAACAUACCUUUAAUAAUUAAAAUAAUAGAGGACACACCAGGGAACUCUAUUCAAAAUCCUGUGAUAAACCAUAAUGGAAAAGAGUAGGAAAAAGAAUGUGUGUAUGUAUAACUGAUUCACUUUGCUAUGCAGUAGAAAUUAUCACAACAUUGUAGAUCACCUAUAUUUCUUUUUUUUUUUUUUUUUGUCUUUUUUGUUGUUGUUGUUGUUGUUGUUGCUAUUUCUUGGGCCGCUCCCGUGGCAUAUGGAGGUUCCCAGGCCAGGGGUUGAAUCGGAGCUGUAGCCACCGGCCUACGCCAGAGCCACAGCAACGCGGGAUCUGAGCCGCGUCUGCAACCUACACCACAGCUCACGGCAACUAACCCACUGAGCAAGGGCAGGGACCGAACCCGCAACAUCAUAGUUCCUAGUCGGAUUCGUUAACCACUGCGCCACGACGGAACUCCUAUUUCAAUAAAAUUUAAAAAAAAUAGAGGGCAGCUGCAAUAUUUUUGUUUUCUGCAAGCCCUUCCCCUCCUGGCAGUCAGUGGGCACCUUGCAUUUUUUCUGUGAUAAUCUGAAGCCUCCUGCAGAGAACACAGCAGCCUCCUCCUAAUCAGGGGCAAUCAUAAGUGGGAUGAUUUUGCACCAUUUGGCUAUAAUUAGACCAGCUUUCUUUGUAGUGAUUCAUUAACAUGAUACUUGGCUUUCAGAACCAACAAACUCCAUCUAAAUUCCUCUGGAAAGGAGGGGCAGAAUGGACAACUGGAAUGAGGACUUAGUAACUAGAACAAGGAAAAAGGAAACAAAAGAAUAUUGCUUGGUUUGCCUUCAUCCCCCAAAUUGCAAACUGCCAAGCAGACAAAAACAGCAGCCCCUCCGCCUGUACUCUUGAACAAUAACCUUCAUUACUCUGCUCCCAGAGGAAAGCUGGCUGACAAUUAGACCUUUGCAGAACUGUUGGACUUUCUCACACAAUUGUUUUAACCCCAGUGUUUCCUUUCUAUUUCAGGAGCAGAGAUACUGUAUAUAUGAAAUUCAGACAUCCUCUUGUUCACUUGGCCAUUGUCUCCUGUUGCCUUUAGUGUAUGAGGCAUAUAAAUUUUUUUAACUCUUAACAGCCCUAAUUGUCAUACAGGCAGUAUGUAGCCACUGUCAUUUCAAUAUGGAAAACAUAGUUAUAGGAAUAGCAAACAAAUUUCUGAUUAUUGACUGAAAUCGAUAUUUAGGAGGCAUUGAUUAAGCCCUCAAGUGAAAGCAUAUUGUAGGUCCUUAAGAGACAAAGGACGAUGAUAAUUUCAACAUAGACACUGUGCCUUAAAGGAUUGCAAAGUUUUGGAGAAAUAAGAGGUUACCGUCGGGAGUUCCCAUUGUGGCUCAGUGGGCUAUAAACCCAACUAGUAUUCAUGAGGAUGAGAGUCGAUUCCUGGCCUUGCUCAGUGGGUUAAGGAACCAGCAUUGCAGUGGCUGUGGUGUAGGCUGGAUCCCAUUCGACCCCUAGCCUGGGAACUUCCAUGUGCCACAGGUGCAGCCUUAAAAAAAAAAGAGAGAGAGAGAGAGAGAGAUCAGUGUCCAUGCUGAAACUUUCCUGGAGUCGAGAAAGUUCUUGAGCUGUAAUAGGAAUACCAGUAGCUUGGGCAUCUUGUUAGAAAGCAAAUUCUGAUUCAGUAGUUCUUGAACCAGCCCCAAGAUUCUGCGGGUCUCACAAGUUCCAGUGGAGGCAAUGCUGAUAAUCAGGGGAUGGGCUCUGAAUGGCAAUGGUCUGUGGAAGUGCUAUCCAGUGGCAACAUAAUGUUAGCCAUAAAGGUAGUGUCCUAGUAGUCAUGUUAAAGUAAAAAGAAUAUACAGGAUUAGAUGAACAAAUUUUAAUAUUAUAUUUCAUUUAACCCUGUAUAUUUGAAACAUCAUUUCAAAAUAUAAACCACAUAUAAGAUGUCAAUGAGAUAUUUUACAUUAUAUUUAACAAAUAUUUUUAUGGAAUGAAUUUCUUUAAAUGCUAUAGUGCUUUACAAUUUUCAGAAGUUUCGUACAUGUGAGUUCAUAUAAUCCCAUAAUGGAUUUUUUGUUUCCCUCUACUCCUAUAUUGCCUCUCCUCUCUUUCCUCCCCUGACAGGUAAACACCAGUUUGUUCUCUAUAUCUGUGAAUCUGCUUCUUUUUUUGUUAUAUUCAUUCAUUUGUUGUAUUUUUAUAGAUUCCACCUACAUGUGAUAUCAUACCCUAUUUCUUUCUCUGACUUAUUUCACUUAGCAUAAUGGCCUCCAAGUCCAUCCCUGUUGCUGCAAAUGGCAAUAUUUUGUUUUUUGUUGUGGCUGAAUAGUAUUCCAUUCCAUAGACAUGGAUAUAUUCUUUAUACAUUCAUCUGUUGAUUGGGUUGCUUCCAUACCUUGGCAUGAUACAGCUGUGAACAUCAGGGUGCAUAUCUCUUUUCAGAUUACUUUGUUUGUUUGUUUCUCUCAGAUGUAUACUCGAGUGGAAUUUCUCUGUCAUAUGGUAGUUCUAUUUUUAGUUUUUUGAGGCUCCUCCUACUGUUUGCCACAGUGGCUACAUCAAUUUACAUUUCCACCAACAGUGUAGUAGGAUCCCCACAUCCUUGCAAACAUUUGCUAUUUGUGUUCCUUUUGAUGAUGGCCAUUCUGGCAGGUGUGAGGUGAUAUUUAAUUGUAGUUUUGAUUUGCAUUUCCCUGAUUAACAGGGAUGAAAAUAUUUUUCAUGUGCCAGUUGGUCAUCAAUAAUUCUUCUUUGGAAAAAUACGCAUUCAGUUCUUCUGACCAUUUUUUAAUUGGAUUGUCUGUUUUUUUGAUGUUGAGUUGUAUGAGUUGUUUAUAUAUGUUGGAUAUUAACUUACCAAUCAUAUCAUUUUCAAAUAUUUUCUCCCAUUCAGUAGGUUGUCUUUUUGUUUUGUCAGUGGUUCCCUUUGCUGUACAAACACUUUUAGUUUAAUUGGGUUCCGUGAUUUUAUUUUUGCUUUUGUUUCCUGUUGUUAGGAGAUAGAUCCAAAAAAUAUUGCUGUGACUUAUGUCAAGUAUUCUGCCUGUGUUUUACUCUAGGAGUUUCAUAGUAUCCAGUCUUAUCUUUGGGUCUUUAAUCCAUUUUGAAUUUAUUUUUGUAUAUAGUAUUAGAGAGUGUUCUGAUUUCAUUCUUUUACAAAUUGCUAUCCAGUUUUCACAAUAUCUCUUAUUGAAGAGACUCUUUUCUCCAUGGUAUAUUCUUGCCUCCUUUGUCAUAGAUGCAUUGACCAUAAGUGAGUAGGUUUAUUUCUGGGUUCUCUAGUUUGUUCCAUUGAUCUAUGUGUCUGUUUUUGUGCCAGUACCAUACUGUUUUGAUUACUGUAGCUUUGCAGUUAUAUUUCUAAUGCUAUGCCUUUGAAAUCUAGUUUGUACUUUACACUUAUAGAUCAUCUCAAUUUGCACUGGCCACAUUUCAAAUGCUCAAAAUAGCUGCAUGUGCCUAUUGACUACUAUACUGGACAGUGUGAGAGCUCCAGGGACAAACAUGAACCCAUUGUCAGUGAAAUCAGUAUCAACUUAUUCCAUUUAUUCAUUCAUUCUUAUUUGCUUAAUAUGUGGUUGACUGGAUAAAGAGUAAAUAGCUUAGUCUACACCACUUUGAGAAAUUCCUUUUUCCAAACCUUUGAAGUUAGAUAACAUUUAAAGCUCUUGUAAUGUUCUUCCCUUAAUUCCCACCUCCAAAAUUUUUUAGAGUACUUAAUUUCAUGGUGUAGCUAGUUAUCUCCUUUCAACAUUAGAAAGUUCAAAUACUAUGUAAUAAAAUCUCAUUAAUUUCAAUUUCACAAAUUCAAAACGUCUAUGAAUUCAGACUUGGUCUUAUUGCCAUUACUCUUACAGUCUGUAUUAAGUACACCCAAAUUUAAUCUACAGUUUCAAUCGUAUAAUUUUAAUCUAUUUAAGCAUUAUGGUCCUACCAAAUUUUAUAUCAUAUACUCAUUCAUAAAUAAUCUUCCUCUCUACAUUAAGUCCAGUCUGGAAGGAUCUCUAUUUUCUAGUAUUCAUUAACCAUUAAUUGUAUGCAUAUAUAACUGUGAGUCAGGAAAUGAAAUUCAAUUUAAGACCUGCCGUAAAAGUGAUGUUCUCUUCAUUUAGGCUGGUCCUCUUUCCAAUUGUGUUAUUAGAGAGGUUUAAUCUCUUCUGAACUUUUUUGUUCCAUGUUACAUGGAUUAGAAAGAAAUCUGAAAUUGUUUUGAAAUGUCUAAUAAGUUGACAAACAAAAUUUACACACAGUAAAGGUAUGGUGUAUUUCAUGCAUUGAUUGACUGACUGUAAGGCUGAAGUCAGGAACCUGAGGUUUCUUGACCUUUUCUUAUGGCUGCAGUAUUCUUUAGAAAACAAAUAUACAGCAACACAAGAAACUAAAUAAUAAAGUUUGUGUUUUUAGGACCUUACUGUGUGUGCUCACCAAGAAACUGUUUCUAACCUGAAAUCCCAUUCCUUAAAAACUAGGUCUUUUAAGUAGACUAUAGCCAAUAACCAGCUUACCCAUCUUCUUGCUUUUGCUCAUAGACGUUUUUACAUGCUCUUUUAUUCAUGUGAUCUAUUUUUGACUUUUGAUGUUUUCAUCCAGCAUGAUGGGUCAGUAUUAUAAUUGCUUUUUGGUUUAUGCGUCCAGUUCAUGAGGUUUAUAAAAAUCACUUUUCGUCAAGGGGUCUGUUGCUUGGCUGCACUGGAAGAUCUCCAGGGUGAUGUAGCAUUUGAAAGAUUUUAUUGCUUCCUUUGCUUCUGCUGUGGCUUAAUGUGUUACAUUUUAGAAGUUCAUUCUCCUCUCACCUAAGGUAUACCCUAUUAAAUUAUCUCAUUUUAAUUACCUUGUUCCUUUUUUCAUCACAUUGCCAUAAUUUCCCUUCAUGCUCAAUUUAUUAGCCACCUUAUUGAGG